rnacentral:sRNA from 1 species
GCUGGACGUGGUGGCACACGUCUGUAAUCCCAGCAGCUCAGGAAGCUGAGGCAGGAGGAUCGCAAGUUCAAAGCCAGCCUCAGCAACUUAGCAAGACCUUAAGCAACUCAGUGAGACCCUGUCUCUA